rnacentral:lncRNA from 1 species
UCAAACUUCCACCAAAAACCCAGAACCCUCAACCUAACAAACGAAAAAUUCAUCCAUAUACAAGUUCUAUCAACGAGCAAAAACAAAAUCAACAUUCAAAUGAAUCAAAUCCACCAUUUUUUCACAGUACCCUUUAUACACAUGUUCGACGAAAUUCCUCAACGAGCACAACACCACAAAAAGGUUCAAACUUCAACAAAAACCCAGAACCCUUAACAGAUUCAAAAUCCCCCCCAACAUAAACCUUCACCAACCACAGAAACCCAACAAAAAAAUCACAUCAUCCAAUACAAAAACGAACCCAGAACGGAUAAACAGACAGUAAAACAGAGAGCUUUACCGGCGGAGUGAAGCUGUGAAAGGACGGCGGAGAAAGUGAGGAAGAUUCA